rnacentral:lncRNA from 1 species
UCAACCAAUGGGCUUGGAGCAUUGAGGCCAUUGCCCUAUUCUGUGUUCUAGUGCGGUUCUGGUUAUCCCUCCUCUGGCUUAGUACAGAGCAGGCAUGUUGGAUUUGGGGCUUUUGUUUGGUUUUGUUUGGAGACAGAGUCUCACUCCUGUCACCCAGACUGGAGUGCAGUGGUGUGGUGCAAUCCCUGGCUCAAUGCAACUCUGCCUCCCGGGUUCAAGCGAUUUCUCUUGCGUUAGCCUCCUGAGUAGCUGGAUUACAGGCCACCUGCCACCACGCCCAGCUAAUCUUUGUAGUUUAGUAGAGACGCAGUUUCACCAUGUUGGACAGACUGGUCUUGAACUCCUGAUCUCAAGUGAUCCACCCACCUCAGCCUCCCAAAGUGCUGGGAUUACAUGCGUGAGCCACUGUGCAUGGUCUCUUGCUGUUUUUAUACUUUCUCUAUAUCCGUAUAGAGAUGUUUCCCAUGUAAGUUUUUGUUUCUUUGAAUUUCUCAUUUUUAUUACCCCUGCAUCAUCUGCUACCCUGAAGGAUCUGGAGGUAAGAGGCCCUGGGCCAGGGUGCAGUGACCCUGAAGGCCAGCCCUCCAACCUCCUCUCACAGCGGGAGCUGGGUGCCCCUCUGCCAACUGAGACAGUCCACACACACCCCAGCCCUAAUGAUUGUUCUCUCUACCUCUCCCCGCAAACCUCCUCCAACUCCACCUCUCUGCAUGCGCCUCAGAGCCGGUACCAAGAACUGGAAGUAGCCCUGGACUCAAGCUCCGCAACAAUCAAUCAACUCAAUGAAAACGUAGAAUCAUUGAAACAACAGAAGAAACAAGUGGAACAUCAGCUGGAAGAAUGCUUGCUUGGCUUUUCUCCCAAAGGUUCAAUUCCAGACAAUCAACAUCCUCAUGUUGGAAAAGGCAGACUUGAAGACCACAGUUUACCAUACUAAACAUGCCGCCACUCCCUUCGAGGGUGGGAAUCUGGCACCCUGUUAUCCU